GUUCCGGCAAUCCAGCAACUACACAUGUGGCAUAAUGAAUGUGCGAUGAAAGCUUGUUCGCGCAAAAAAAAAAAAAAAAAAAAAAAA
rnacentral:ribozyme from 1 species